UCUUUUUUUAAAAAGCUUUUUAGUGUCAACAUUGACCCUUGCAUAGCCUUGUGUUUCAGAUUGCCCUCUCCCCUAGAUGGCAAGCAAUCCAAGAUAGCUUAUUUGUACAUGUUUAAGCCAAUAUAUGUAAACGUAUUUAUACAAUUCUCUUGCUCCACAAGAAAAAUCAGAUCAAAAAGAAAACAAAAAGCAAGCGAACGACAACAAAAAGAGGGAGAAAGUUAUAUUGUGGCCCAUGCUCAGUUCCCUCCCUGGCUGUAGAUGCCUCUCUAUGACAAGAUCAUUGGAACUGGCCUGAAUCAUCUUAUUGUUGGAAAGAGUGACGUUCCUCAGAAUCGGUCAUCAUAUAAUAUCGAUGUUGCCGUGUACGAUGAUCUCCUGGUCCUGCUCGUGUCACUCAGCAUCAGUUCAUAUAGGUUUACUUCAUUCUUGGAUGGACGGGAGUUCCACGAAUCUCCAGUUCUGACACUACAGAAAAGAGCCGCUACAGAUAUCUUCGUACAGAUGAAGUUUUUGCCUCUCUUCGGAGUAGAAGCCUACAAAUGCCAUCACGAAACGACAGCGUGAUUCCAAAGUGCUUUUCCGGAUGCACUUAUUUCUCUAGCUGUGUCGGUGUGAAACCAUGAAUUGGGUGGAUUACUGCAGGAGGUCUAGGAAAGCCAAGUAAGUCUGGGUGAUCCAGGACAGGUGAAAACAUCGAUGGACUCCACAUUAUAGUGAAGCAUCAUGGAGUGAAGUCAUCUCACCACCCCAUCUAUCCUGUCCAUCUGUCCCUCUAUUCAUCCAUCUCUCUCUCCCCAUCUCCACGUGUCUCUGUCCUGUCUGUCUCUCCAGCUCACUCUCCCAUGCCUCUAUCCUGUUCUGGGUCUAUUUUCUAUCAUGUAUCUAUCCCUCUAUCCCAUCCCUCUGUUCAUUUAUCUCUCUCUGCCUGCCUGUCAACUCAUCCAUCUCUUCAUUUGUCUUUAUCCAUAUCCCCGCCUCCAUCAUCUCUUCAUUUCUCUAGCCUGUCUCUGUCCCUCUAUCUCUAUUCUGUCCCGUCUGCUCCCUCUCUCUCACACUCACACAGUCCUUACCAAGCAU